AACUCAAAAUAUCGUUUACACAAGUUUCAUGGUUGUCAUUGGGAGAUUUACUUGAAUUUUUUAGAGGACUAAAUGAAGUCCUACGUGGUACCUGGAAACAUCCAAAAUUUUCAACUGACACACUGGGAAACAAAUCGAAAAUAAAACUCUCAAGUUUAUAUCCAUUGGGAUUUAAAGGUGUAGUAUAAUGAUGAGACGUUACGUCGUAAAAUGGAAUUUUCUUGCAUGCAAGGUGAAUAGGAAGGGUACUUGAGUGCAAAGAAGCUUUCUGUAAGAAAUCAAAAGAGAAAUAAUGGUAUGCAAUGUUAGCCGCACGAAGCAGCAAAUGCUUGUGACCAUCAACAUUUUCUGUAGCUUUGCAUGCUUCGUCAGAAAUUUCAGAGUACUCUACAACACAAGGAUGAUUAUGGGAAGAUACAAGGAGACCCACUUUUUCAGCAGGAUCGAUUUUUUCAACAGUUUUAGUGGCAACCUCAAGUUUUUUAGUAGUAGCCAUUCCUAUGAAUACAGGAUCAACCGGCAAAACAAGAACAUUGUCAACGCUAUAAGCCGUAAUAUGGAGUAUACCUCUUCUAUUCAUAUCAUUCAAUGCACCAGAGGAAAGCAAAGCUUCAUAAAUACCUCCAUUGCCGUUAGGAGCCCAAGCUAAUGAAGAAUCAGAUUCAAAAAGGACCCUACCUGAGAUAUCUAGACAAGGUAAAACUCCUUGCUGGAAGAAAAAAACGUCUUUCUUAUCAAUACCAAAGAAAUCAUUCUCCUUAAAAAAAGAAAUUGUCUCCUCUGACGUACAUUCAGAAACCAUUAUAUACCAUGGAAUGCUUAUAGAGGCUUCUUGAUCGGGAAAUGCGGCUCUGGCGAGCGCCAACGAUUUCUUAAUUUUUUGUGCCUGCAGCUCAAAGAUGCUCGGAUUAUUAGGCAGCCCAAGUCUAAAGCAACCUUUUGGACCAGCAAACCCAAGUCGAGUGCCUUGACCUCCUGCCAAUACUAAGGCAGCUACAUGACCUCUAGCAAUUUCCCGAAGACCUGUUCUCCACCAACUUGAGUCAGACGUAUCUACAAUAGAUAGUGGACCAACUUCUGAAGGGGACAAUUUUCUGUUCUCUUGGCUUGUCGCUUUAGCAUUUCGAUACUUCAACCACAAUGACCG